GACGUAGGGCGCAAGCGUUGUCCGGAUUUAUUGGGCGUAAAGAGCUCGUAGGCGGCUUGUUGCGUCGUCCGUGAAAACCCGCAGCUCAACUGCGGGCUUGUGGACGAUACGGGCAGGCUAGAGUUCGGUAGGGGAGACUGGAAUUCCUGGUGUAGCGGUGGAAUGCGCAGAUAUCAGGAGGAACACCAAUGGCGAAGGCAGAUCUCUGGGCCGUAACUGACGCUGAGGAGCGAAAGCAUGGGGAGCGAACAGG
rnacentral:rRNA from 1 species